UACGUAGGGUGCAAGCGUUAAUCGGAAUUACUGGGCGUAAAGCGUGCGCAGGCGGUUAUGUAAGACAGAUGUGAAAUGCCCGGGCUUAACCUGGGAACUGCAUUUGUGACUGCAUGGCUAGAGUUUGGCAGAGGGGGGGUAGAAUUCCACGUGUAGCAGUGAAAUGCGUAGAUAUGUGGAGGAAUACCGAUGGCGAAGGCAGCCCCCUGGGUCAAGACUGACGCUCAUGCACGAAAGCGUGGGAGCAAACAGG
rnacentral:rRNA from 1 species